UCUUAAACUAAAUUUGGACAAAUCGUGUUAGUCGAUUCGAUAUAUUAUAAUUAUAAGUAAGUGAUUAUUACGCAUAUGCUUUAGCCGAAUUCGUGGUACAAAAGUGAAUUCUUCAAAAGAAUAACAAAAAUCCAUUCAGCCUCGAGUACUUUUUUACGUAGAGACAUUUAUUAUUGUGGACACUUUGAAGACUCAGUGCAAAAUUGUUUUAGUGAACAUACUUGAAAGAAAAUAUUGGCCGAUUUACGUCUGUUCAUGUUCAUGUAUGCUAUAUGUAUGAGAAUUGGUUCAGAAACGGAAGAAACAGUUAUUAAGUAGAAGAAAGAAGGAUAGAGGCAGAAGUUGGAACAUUGAAUACAGGAACAUAAUUUCUAAUUUUUGCAAAUUAACCAGUACCAGUUAUUUGUCAUUGAAACGGCUCAACAUACAGUUUCUCCAGACACAGUACGAUUACACUUUCUUCUACUUGGUGUUUUUCGUUGGGAGUGAAAUUCUUAAGAUUUACUUUAAAAUCAGUGGAAACUUUUAAAUAGUAACCAUGCACGAGGCCGAAUCCUGGUCUUUUCCUCCGAAGCAGGCUCUCUACGAUCCAACACUUGAAAGAGAUGCUUGCGGUGUUGGAUUCAUUGUUGCAAUAGAUGGGAAAAAGUCGCACAAAAUCGUUCGCGAUGCAGAAAUUCUCUCGGCACGUAUGAACCACCGUGGUGCUUGCGCCUGCGAUAACGAUACCGGUGACGGGGCCGGUGUUCUUUGUGCAAUUCCACACGAGUAUUACGCCGAUGAAUUGCGCGAACGACAAAAUGUCGAAUUACCUCAAUUCGGUCGUUAUGCCACCGGUAUUCUAUUUCUUGAUCAAAAUUCUCAUCAAGAAGCUGAGGCUGUUUUUGAAAAGUUAGUUGAAGAGUGCAAUUUAAGGCUAAUUUGUUGGCGAGAUGUUCCAACAGAUAACACAAGAAUUGGCCAAGUGGCACGAAAAUGCGAACCUUACAUGCGUCAAGUCUUUGUCACUGGUGAUCAAGACGAUAUUAAUCUUGAACGGCAAGUUUUUAUUUUGAGAAAAAGAUCGUCUCAUUCCAUACCACGACCAGGGAUUAGAUACUAUAUAUGCUCACUUUCUAUACGAACGGUUGUUUAUAAAGGACAAUUGACGGCGGACCAGUUGUGGCUCUAUUUCCUAGAUUUGAAGUCUCCAAAAUUUGAAACCUAUCUGGCAUUAGUUCACACAAGAUUUUCAACAAAUACAUUUCCUAGCUGGGAAAGGGCGCAUCCUCUUCGAUUGUUAGCGCAUAAUGGUGAAAUCAACACUUUAAGAGGAAACGUAAAUUUAAUGAAGGCACGAGAAGGAGUGAUGAGUAGCAAGGUUUAUGGGGAAAAAUUGAAACAACUUUAUCCAGUGGUAGAACCGAACCUCUCGGACUCAGGAGCCGUUGAUUGCGUUUUGGAAUUUUUAGUAAUGGUAGGACAGCGGUCUUUGCCAGAGGCAGUAAUGACAAUGGUACCAGAAGCAUGGCAAAACGAUUUAACGAUGGCAUCUGAAAAGCGCGAUUUUUACCAUUGGGCUGCUUGUGCGAUGGAACCUUGGGAUGGCCCUGCUCUUUUAACCUUUACAGAUGGACGCUACGUUGGUGCUAUUUUAGACAGAAACGGCCUGCGCCCAUCGCGCUUCUACGUCACUAAGGAUAAUAUGAUGGUGAUGGCGUCCGAAGUGGGCGUCUAUGACACUCCGUCCAACAAUGUAGUCUUAAAGAGCCGUUUGAAACCCGGCAGAAUGCUACUGGUUGAUACGCAUGAGAAAAGGAUUAUAGAAGAUGUUGAACUGAAGUUGCAAAUUGCUAGAAGUAGACCACAUUCCAAAUGGCUAAAAGAUCAGAUUACAAUGGAAGAGUUACGUGCUGCUGACGUUGAUUAUAAAAAGACACUAAGCACUGUUGAAAAUGGUUCGAUCGUGGACAAAGAAGUAGCUAAAAGAAAAGCAAUGAAUGAUGCAAAUCCAAUAUCUACUGUAAAUCGAGUUUGGGGAGGCGAUAAAAGAUUAUCCCUCUAUGGAUACACCCUCGAAACCAUUAAUUUGCUUCUUCUGCCGAUGAUGCAAUCUAAGAAAGAACCACUGGGUUCUAUGGGUAAUGAUGCGCCAUUAGCUUGUCUUUCUCAAUUUCAACCCCUUAUCUACGACUAUUUUAAGCAACUGUUUGCUCAGGUGACAAAUCCUCCGAUAGACCCUUUCAGAGAAAAAAUCGUAAUGUCAAUGCUUUGUCCUAUUGGGCCAGAAAGUAAUAUGCUUGAGCCAAACGAACUGCAAGUACAUAGAUUAUUUUUACGACAACCAAUACUUUCCUUGGAUGAUCUCGAUAUAAUCAAACGAACGAAUUAUCGUGGUUGGAAAACUAAAAUAAUCGAUGCGACAUAUCCUGUGCAAGAUGGUCCACCUGGAUUAGUGAAUACACUAAAUCGUGUCAAUCAGGAGGCUAAUCAAGCUGCAAAAGAAGGUUAUCAAUUUAUCGUUCUAUCCGAUCGGCUGAGUAGCUCGGAAAGAGUGCCUGUAAGCAGCUUGUUAGUCUUGGGCGCAGUGCAUCACAAUCUAAUCGAAGAACGACAACGUAUGAAAGUUGGUCUCAUUGUAGAAACUGCUGAAGCUAGAGAAAUACAUCAUAUAUGUCUGCUACUUGGCUAUGGAGCGGACGCCAUUUGUCCGUACUUAGUAUUUGAAAUGGCAAGAAAUCUUCGUAUGGAUGGCGUACUUGAUUCGUCAUUAACCGAUAAUGCUUUAUGUGCGAACUAUGCGGAAGCAAUGGAUAGAGGAAUAGCUAAAGUAAUGGCAAAAAUGGGAAUCUCUACGUUACAAUCGUAUAAAGGAGCUCAAAUAUUCGAAGCAGUCGGUUUGUCAGACGAAGUCAUCAAUAAAUGCUUUAAGGGUACACAAUCUCGUAUUGGUGGAGUUACUUUUGAUAUUUUGGCAAAGGAAGCAUUUGAAAGACAUCAAAUUACUUAUUGCACAAAACCUAUGGAUAUGCUUGUUAUUCGCAAUCCAGGAGUCUAUCAUUGGCGAUCUGGUGGAGAAAAACACAUAAACGAUCCUGAUAGUAUUGCUAGCUUGCAGGAUUAUGUAAAUUCUAAGAACUGGAACGCUUAUGAAAAAUAUCGAAAAACUACAAUGGAAAUGAUCAGGGCAUGCACCUUACGUGGUCAAUUGGAAUUAGUACAAAAACCAGAAAAAUCCAUACCCAUUGAAGAGGUUGAACCAGCAUCUGAGAUUGUGAAACGAUUUGCAACCGGAGCUAUGAGUUUUGGAAGUAUUUCUAUAGAAGCACAUACAACAUUAGCGAUUGCGAUGAAUCGUAUUGGCGGUAAAUCGAAUACCGGCGAAGGUGGUGAAAAUGCUGACAGGUAUCUGAAUCAGGAUCCAGAGUUUAACAAACGAUCAUCUAUUAAGCAAGUUGCCAGCGGUCGUUUUGGUGUCACUUCGAGUUAUUUAGCAAAUGCUGAUGAUCUUCAAAUCAAAAUGUCACAAGGUGCGAAGCCAGGAGAAGGCGGCGAGUUGCCUGGUUAUAAGGUUACUGCUGAGAUUGCUGCAACUAGACAUUCUGUACCUGGUGUAGGUCUAAUUUCACCACCACCGCAUCACGACAUUUAUUCGAUCGAAGAUCUUGCGGAAUUAAUUUAUGAUUUGAAAUGUGCAAAUCCAAAUGCUCGUAUUUCUGUCAAGUUAGUGUCAGAAGUAGGAGUAGGUGUAGUUGCAUCAGGUGUUGCAAAGGGGAAAGCAGAGCAUAUCGUAAUAUCUGGCCAUGAUGGUGGAACUGGUGCUAGUACUUGGACAGGAAUAAAAUCCGCUGGUUUACCUUGGGAAUUAGGAGUUGCGGAGACCCAUCAAAUUUUAACCUUAAAUAAUCUUCGAUCACGUGUCAUUGUACAAGCAGAUGGACAAAUGCGUACAGGAUUUGACGUAGUGGUUGCGGCUCUUUUAGGUGCCGACGAAUUUGGCUUUAGUACUGCGCCAUUAAUUUCCAUGGGUUGUACUAUGAUGAGAAAAUGUCAUUUAAACACUUGUCCCGUGGGUGUUGCAACACAAGAUCCAAAACUUCGAAAAAAAUUUGAAGGAAAGCCAGAACAUGUUAUUAAUUUUUUCUUCGCAUUGGCAGAAGAGGUACGUUCUCACAUGGCCAGCCUUGGAUUACGUAAAUUUCAAGAUCUAAUAGGUCGUACGGAUUUGUUGAAAGUUCGCGAAGAUAUCUCAGUAGAGAAGGCUAAAACAUUAAAGCUCGAUAAUAUUUUGCGUAAUGCACUUGAACUUCGUCCUGGAGUAAAUAUUCAGGGAGGAUCAAUGAAACAAGACUUUCAACUAGAAAACAGAUUGGACAAUCAUGUCAUUGAAUUAGCCAUGGAUUUAUUGAAAGGAAAACAGAAACGUGUUGAUAUUGAAUUAAAUAUUAAUAACGAAUGUAGAGCAUUUGCGGCGACAUUAAGCUACCAUAUUUCAAAAUUAUAUGGCGAAGUUGGUUUACCUGAAGGUAGUAUCAACAUAAAAAUGAAAGGUUCUGCAGGUCAGAGCUUCUGUGCUUUCAUGACCAAAGGUGUUCAUGUUACUCUCGAGGGAGAUGCCAACGAUUAUGUUGGCAAAGGUUUAUGUGGAGGAGAAAUCGUUAUAUAUCCACCAAAAGAUUCUACUUUCAAGUCCGAAAAUAACGUAAUCGUUGGUAAUGUUUGCCUUUAUGGUGCAACUUCUGGCAAAGCAUAUUUUCGAGGAAUCGCUGCUGAAAGAUUUAGCGUCCGUAACAGUGGCGCCAUAGUAGUAGUCGAAGGUGUCGGUGAUCAUGGGUGCGAAUAUAUGACUGGCGGCUGUGCAGUUAUUCUGGGUCUUACUGGUCGAAAUUUCGCAGCUGGAAUGUCCGGUGGGAUAGCUUAUGUCUUAGAUGUAGACGGAUCGUUCAAGAGUAAAUGUAAUCCUGAAAUGGUAGAAUUGCUUCCUUUAAGUAAGCAAGAAGAUAUUGCAUAUGUGAAACAACUUUUAGAAGAAUUUGUUGAGAAAACUGGUUCUUUAAUAGCUGAAGAUCUUUUGAUGUUGUGGCCUGAACCAACUACACGGUUCGUUAAGGUAUUUCCGUAUGAGUACCAGCGGGCAUUAAAGCAAGUCGAAGAAGCCAAACAAAUACAACCAAUACCGAAUGGAAGUUCUCAGAUGGAAAACAUCCAGAUCAAAGAUAUUGAAGAUGCUAUUGUAGAUACUGAUAUGGAGCAGCAAAAAUUGGAUAAGAUAAGAGGAUUUAUUAAAUAUAGAAGACAAAUGGGAAUUUAUCGGCCAGUUGAAAACCGAAUUACCGAUUGGAAUGAAAUUUAUAACUUUCAAAAGGUUCGCAAAGGAUUACGCGUGCAGGCAGCAAGAUGUAUGGAAUGCGGUGUACCAUUUUGUCAAAGUAGUCAUGGUUGCCCUCUAGGAAAUAUCAUUCCUAAAUGGAAUGAUCUUGUCUUCCAAUCGAAUUGGAAAGAAGCUUUAAAUCAAUUGUUACAAACUAAUAAUUUCCCAGAAUUCACUGGAAGAGUUUGUCCAGCUCCUUGUGAAGGUGCCUGUGUUUUGGGUAUAUCUGAACCAGCAGUUACAAUAAAGAACAUUGAAUGUGCGAUAAUUGAUCACGCAUUUGAACAAGGUUGGAUAGUGCCGCAUCCACCAACAACUAGAACCGGUCGACGAGUAGCAGUAGUUGGCUCAGGUCCGGCUGGUUUGGCGGCAGCUCAUCAAUUAAAUAAGGCAGGCCAUUUGGUGACUGUUUAUGAAAGAAAUGACCGAAUUGGAGGUCUACUGCAAUAUGGUAUUCCGACUAUGAAGUUAUCGAAACAAGUUGUUCAAAGAAGGGUUUCUCUUCUUGCGGCGGAGGGUAUUACAUUUAAGACUGGCGUCGAUGUAGGAAAACAUAUUUCUGCUAAUGAAUUACGGGAACAAUAUGACGCAAUGCUAAUAUGUACUGGCGCAACUUGGCCAAGAGACUUACAAAUACCAGGUCGACACCUUGAAGGAAUUCAUUUUGCUGUAAGCUUUUUGGAAAAUUGGCAAAAGAAUCAAAUGGGGAAUAACGUUCCACUAGAUAUGCGUUUAAUAGCUAAAGAUAAGGAUGUUAUUAUAAUAGGUGGUGGCGAUACUGGUUGUGAUUGUAUAGCUACGUCUUUGCGACAGGGUGCCAAAACGAUUACAACUUUUGAAAUUUUACCCGAACCACCAAACAAAAGAGCGCACGAUAAUCCUUGGCCUCAAUUUCCACGUGUAUUUAAAGUGGAUUAUGGCCAUGAGGAAGUUUCCUUGAAGUUUGGCCGAGAUCCCCGUCAAUUUAGUACAUUGAGUAAAGAGUUUUUAGACGAUGGAAAUGGCCACGUAAGUGGUAUUAAAACAGUGUCAGUAUCGUGGACAAUGGAAAACGGACGUUGGAAAAUGGAAGAGGUUCCUGGAACAGAAAAAAUAUACAAAUGUGACCUAGUUUUACUCGCUAUGGGUUUCUUAGGUCCAGAAAAAUAUAUUGCAACAGAAUUAAAUACGAAAAUGGAUGAAAGAGGUAAUUUCAAAACACCAGUUGGAAAUUACAAGACAAGUUUAGAUGGAAUAUACGCAGCAGGAGAUUGCCGGCGUGGACAAUCCCUGGUAGUUUGGGCAAUCACAGAAGGUAGGCAAGCUGCAAGAGAAAUAGAUCUGGCUUUAAUGGGGGAAACUGGUCUUCCUGUAUCCGGUGGUGUUAUAACUGGUGUUAUGGCUUAAGAUGCAUACGUUCUAAGUGUAGUCGAUCAGAAUUCGGCUAUUUCUUUCUACCCUUCUCGUUCCUACCGCGUUUUUCUUCUCUUUUUUAAACUUUUUCAGUAAUUAAACCGUGCAAAGUAUGCGAUCAGUGUACCGGUAGGAGAAUAAGUAACAUGUAAUGAGCAAGGAAGACAUGCGGUCAAUGCGUGAACAAGGAAAUCAGUAUUAUUUUAUCGUGAGUGUAUAUCGUGAAAGUAUUCGCGAUAUCGAAAAGGUCUUAUCGUCAUGUGUGUUCAUUCACGCAGAAGCUCCAAUUUAAGAACUACAGUAGGAAAAUGACAGCUGCAGUAUGAGAAAUUUGCAUUUUUGUUUCGAGUUGUCAUCUCGUAAAAUAUUUGUUAAUUUCUUAAAAAAAAAAAAAAGAAAAUGGUAUAACUAAGUAAUAGUACUGUAAGUCGAGUUGACUCGAAGAAAUAAUCGUAGAUACAUUGUCGAAUCUACCUCGUAUCUUCUUUUACGUCUUUUGCUUGUUUCAUGAGGUAACUUGAAUUAUUCUAUGUGAUUAAACUGAUUUGUAUAAAAGGUCAUAUAAUACGAUCAAUACAAAUUAAAAAAAAUAAAUGUUUGUUAAAUAUUUCUGUUAUAAUAAAAAUCAAAGUAGAAAAUAUAAAUUGCAUUUCGAGGCUCAUGUUAAAUAAUGUAAAAGUAAUGUUUCGUAUUUAACCUCGUAAUUUUCUUUUUUCGACCUAUGCUUUGUACAUUGUAACAUAUAUACAUGCAUGUGGGUAUGUAUAUAUGUAUCAUUUCUGAGUUUAAGAUAUUUAUUUAUAAAAAAAACACGAACGAUGAUGAUACACAUGUAAUUUCCUUGAUUGUAAAGAAAUUCCCUGCGCCAACAAAUUUUAUUUAUUUGUUGCGCACAUAUUAUUGUACAUUCUAUACGAAGAGAAAAAAAAGAAUACUUCAAGACAAUAAAUAUAUAAAGAAAGAAAUAAAACGUUUAAAGAAUAAAGAAAAAAAGAUGAAUGAAAGAAGAAUAAAUUCAUUAAAUUUGAAAGAAAAUACUACAUAUAAUUGGCUGGAAUAUCAAUUUCUCAGCAUGUUUCAUUUGUUUGCAUCUGACGUUCAAGAACUGAAGUGGCAUGAUUUCCUACAGGACCAAUUAACGGAACAUCAAAUUGGUUAUAUUCGCGAAGAAAUUGUUAGCACAGCAAUCGCAAAUGUGCUUGAAAAGUAUUAUUUCAAAAAGAAACUGUUCCAAUUCAACAGUGAAUGUGCCCGUGUGGUUUGGCUACGGUUGUUCAAUGCGAGUAUCCUUCAUUUUCUAACUUUUCUAAUUUUUACCUACUUCCUCUCUUUUUCUUAUAGUGGAUAUUCUUAAGAUUAGAUCCUUAUUGGAGACAGGAUACAACUGGAAAGGCGAUACAUUUGAUUGUCGAUAUCGAACCGCAACCUUCGUCUGUCGACUCUUGGAUAUUUGGGAAGGUAUCGCAAAUUUCUAUCCAAAAAUCAAUACCUACAUUAACAUGUAUUCCUCUAUUACCAUCGAUAACUGCUACGAAGCCAUUGAAUAGAAUCACGCAAAAGCAACAAACAAAAUUAGGAUAUAUUAACAAAGAAAAAUUAAAACAAAAGAAUAAAGAGGGAACGAUGAUAUCUUCUGAAAUAAAAAAAUCAUGUGAAGUAGUUAAUGAAAGGAAAAAAUCAAAUGGUUACUCGAAAAACGAUAGCUAUUUAUCUAUGCCUAAACAACAUACCAUAGAUUCAACAGAAAGAAUAUAUGAUCAACCAAAUAAUUUCAAAGAAAAGAAUAAGACUGACUUAUUGGUAAAGAUUUCAAAACAAAAUGGCAACAAUAACGAUGAUAGUAAACAGGAAAACAUAACAAAUAUUCGACAAUUGUCGAAAAAUUUAAAACAAAAUAAAAUGAAACUCUUGCCAUGGGAAAAGGAAACAGCAGCGAAGAUACCACUCCAACGAUCAUUGGAGAGGAUAGAGAUCAUGUGCACAAUUUUACCAGAUCACAGCGACUAUCUUGAAACGAACACUUUAAAUGUAAAACGAAUGAAAUAAGUAUGGGUAAAUAAAACAAAUAUUUUUUAUAA